rnacentral:lncRNA from 1 species
AAAGUGGGCAGGGAAAGCAGUCAACCAACAAAACUGGUCCUGUGUCAGCUUAGGCCUCCAUCUAUCUGGGGCUGGAACAGCCUUGUGAAUGGUGCCAAGUGGGCCAAGAUGGACCCUCCUCAGACACAAGUGAACCAGCAAGAGAGGCAGUCAUGGCCUCAAGUCCUUCUUCGGCGAAGCGUUCAAAUGGUACAUCCAGCAUCCACAACAAGAACUUUAAAGAAACUGUAACAAAUGCCUUUACAAGGCCAAACAGAGCUUUUUAACAGAUCACCUAGAGAAUGAACGUGGGGAGCCAGGGGAGAAUAAGUCCAAAACCUAUGUGAUUCAGGAAAUAAGAACAGUCAAGAAAGGAUGAAGACAAUCUCCACUUGAUGGCUGCAAUUCAGUCCAGGAGGAACAAAUCCAAGUUCACGCAUAUUUUAUGGCAUCCGGGAAAAAGAAAAAAAUCAGAAUUACUCCACAAUCCAAAGAGGGCAGUACCGAUAGCAUCAGAAAGACAGGAACAAGUUCAAACGCUACGCUGGAGCGGGACCCAGCCUGCUCGGCGAGCUCAGAGACAUAAAGUGCCACCCUUCAGUUCCUGAAGUUGAU